GACGAACGCUGGCGGCGUGCUUAACACAUGCAAGUCGAACGAAGUGGCGAACGGGUGAGUAACGCGUAAUCAACCGGACCUUCAGAGGGGGACAACAGUUGGAAACGACUGCUAAUACCGCAUACUGAAGGAGGGGAUUGCGUCGGAUUAGCUAGUUGGAGGAGUAGCGGCCCACAAAGGCGAUGAUCAGUAGCCGGUCUGGGAGGAUGAACGGACCACUCGUGACUGAGCCACGGACCAGACUCCUACGGAAUGAGACAGUGGGGAGUCUUGCGCAAUGGACGAAAGUCUGACGUAGCAACGCCGAGUGAGUGAUGACGGCCUUCGGGUUGUAAAGCUCUGUUAAUCGGGACGCGGUACCGGAAUAGAAAGCCACGGCUGACUACAUGCCAGCCGCCGCGGUAAUUC
rnacentral:rRNA from 1 species